UAAUCUAUAAACUGCGACAUAACUGUUUCAGGGAAGGAAUAAAUUUGUCCUACAAAAUAAAAAAAUUGUGGUGAAUAUACAUCUGUUGCAACUACAGGAUGGGCUAUGAUGAUGUCCCACAGCAUCCAUUAGAAAGACUUCGACCAAUGAGAGAGAACUAUGAACUGAGAAUGAAAACCUUUCAGCAAUGGUCUAAUCCAAAUAUAUCUCCGAAGGAACUGUGUGACGAUGGAUUUUAUUACAUGGGAACAUCUGAUAGAGUGCAGUGUGCAUUUUGUGGGUGUGUUCUGAGUGGAUUGAGACCUGGCGAUAACGUUCAUCAACAGCAUGCUAUUAAUUUUGGACAAUGUCAAAAAGUUUGCAAGUAUGCAAAAUAUGAAGAGAGACUUGCAUCAUUCCGAAAUUGGCCACAUAAUCUACGUCAGAGUCCUAUGGAUCUGGCUUCAGCUGGAUUUUAUUAUACAGGCAUACUUGACAAAUGUACAUGUUUCAAGUGUGGUGGGUGUGUCUGUGAUUGGGAAGCUGAUGAUGUACCGUUAACAGAACAUACGAGAAUGUUUCCGGAUUGUCCACUAAGUCGAACAAUAUCCUAGACGGAAAUACCUCCUUAACAAUCUUAGGAAACGACGCUACAGCUUUUCAUCAUACUUGUAUCACAGUCUCAAUCUAGUAUUCGGCUUGCUUUAUUGAUUUUGUUUAUUCACUUUUUCUUAUUGUGUAUAAUCCAUUAAAGUUUUAAAGAUAAAUUUCUUAUAAAAGAACUAGUGACCGAAAGGUCAAAAUAAUAUUCAAUUGUAUAUUCAUAAUUAUUAAAGCGACAAACGGAAAAUAAAACCAAAACAUGAAUUUAUCAAGAUAAUGAAAUAUGUCAAAUGGAACUUGCUAAUUUCUUAUAUCUUCAGUAAACAUAAUGUAAAAUAUUCGGAAUUGUUGGAGGGUAAAACACAGUUAUACCAUUGAAAAAUACAAAAUUCAAUGUUAAGUUAUCUUAUAAAUCUUUACUAUUAUUA